GUUCUGAGCUUUUUUUCUGUGUAUUUAUGUGAUGGAAACAAUUUCUUGUCAGUCAUAAUGACACAGAAUUCUUAAGUUCUUAGUUUAUUUUGGAUUUCCUAGUUUGCAAUCUACCUAGCUCAAUGUCCACUGUCAAUACAUGCAUUUAUAACAUUAAUCAUAAGAGAAAACCAGACCUAUAAGUAAAGAGGGGACCAUGGCACAUGCUAUCAUAUAACCAAAUGCAUUCAAAGGAGGCUAUCAAAAAUGCAAUUAAAAUGGGCUGCAAAGAUAGGCAAGGCAUCGAAGCACUUUGUAAAAUUAGAAAGUAGGGUAUGUUUAGGGAUGUAAACACAUCAAAUUGAACUGCAGUCUGGUAUUAUCCACUACCAAAGAGUAGACUGGGAAGAGUCAUUUCAGAGUUUCAGUAAACAGAGUAAUGCAAGCAACAUAAUUUAAGUUGGAAAGAUAAGGGAGGGAAAUAGGCAGCAGUGAUCACUGUCUCGUUUGAUUUAGGAUUAUAGCACAUACUAAAACUACAGGGGUGCAAAGACAAAAUGAUUUGUAAAAUGCCAAGUUUGGUAAAACCAGAGAAUAGUGUGCAAUGCCAUAGCUUGGAUGGGAAAUGCUUGAGAGAUCCGAGGUUUGGCACCAUUUAAAGCAAAAAUUUAAAUGCAAAUUAAGAGACCUUGUAAUCAACAUAUGAGUAAAAAUAAUCCUAGUGAACGAUUAUUCUGGUGAUGAGAAAGAUGGUGACCACAACUUCUGUUACAGCAACUGUUACAGUCUGUUAUUGUUUCCAAGCGUGCAGACCUUCAGAAAAAGGAACACAUGUGAGUACAAUUAGGCUGAAGAUGGAGGCUGCAUGUUCUGAGGCUCUCAUGAAAAUCAUAUCUGAGAGUAAAUUUUUUUCUGAUUUGCAAACUGUCUCAAUUGUAGCUAGCUGAUCCCAUUCCUGAACAAAACAGCCUUUUCCCAAUAUAAAUAUCAUAUUGCUUUUUAGGUGUUCUUCAUGUUGCUGUGUCUCUGAAAGAAGCUGACAGUUCCCAGAUGUCACAGAUCAGUUACUGCUUCUGAUGAUGAAUUUUCAGUCAAGAUGAACAUCUGAAUCUUAGAAGACAUGAUGAAAUCCAAUCAGGAUCUUGAUGGGUUUUCCAAAUUGUUUUCAGUUUUAGCCCUGAGAAUACAUUGGCAACGUUGCUCAGAGGUAAAGAUCGCUUUCUUCUUGGAGUGGACUGUCAAAUACAACCAAUUAAAAUCUUCACCUUCAUGUAUGCAGAGAAGGAGGUGAAUGAGUCUUCCAGCUGCAAGAGAAUUCCGAGGGAAACAGUGGAUACAAUACAGAAAACUGUGAAAGGGCUCUGCAGUCUCUCAGGAUGGACCUAAUCUCCAUUGAGAAUUUACAACUGUUCAUGUAACAGCUCUGUCAAGCCCAAAAGUGUGAGCGUUCUGUCUCUUCUCAGCUUGCAGUGAGUUCUGACAAGGCCUGCUAAUCAGAGGGUCAAGACUUAUAUUGAUUUUACCUUCUGUAUAAUUUUUGUGGUUCUGAUGCAGCAAGACCUUUUUCACAACUGUGCUGCAAUAAGAGUUCACUUCUGAAAGAGUGUUUUAAAAGAUACCAGCUCAUGAACAUCCCAUGCAGGCAAGAGCUCUCUAAGUGGAUUUUAUGCUCAAAUGCUGGGCUGAAAACUAAAAAAAAGUGGCUGCAGAAAUGUUCUUUGAUACAGAUAAUGGCAAUCAACUUUGCUGUAUUGAGUGUAGAAUACUUGAGGAACCUGCAUUCACCUGAAACAGUAGGGUUUCUCAGCUGGAAGGAGCCUGGUGAACUGAGCACUGUGUGACUAAUGAGCUGUCUGUGGAACAUCUGCAGUCUGAAUACCUGCAUCUCCACUAAAAACAGUCUGGGAACCUGUGCCUUAAUGAAACUUCAGACCACACUCCUAGAAAAGGCAGAGAAAAAUGGAGCAGCACCAGUGUAUGGGGAAGAUUGUGCUUGCAGUGACAGAACCAGAGUUCCACUUCCCAGCUUCCCACCAGCACAUGGCACACGGACACUACUACAAGCCUUGGGAGUAAUCAUGUGAAAGGAAAAUCUUCCUGAGCAAUUAUGGCUCCUGAGCAAUCUGCACAGCCAGCAGAAGCAGGUACUCAACUGGAACUUUUGCAAGUGGAAUAUCCUAAGAAGUGAAAUGUUAGCUGCUGACUCUGCUGCUUUUGGCCACAGACUGCUGCUUUUAGGAAUCCUGUUUGUCCUUCUGCCUCUUUUGUGGUUUCUACAGACUUGAUGGAAAACGAAGCACUUGUCCUGUUACCCUGGAGUUCCAGCAGGUCAGCUGGAGCAGGAGUAACCUGGAAAACUGGCCACUGAUAUGUGCAGAUCCAUUACAGGGUGUCCAUCCAGUGAUUCAGACACAUCCAGGGUACAAAGAGCGUUGCAUUACCCUCCAUGUGCAGUGCCCAGCCAACCUUCCAGUAUCCACAGGCAGAAAUACCAGCAUCUAAUGAACCAUGGAAACCAAGCUGUUAAAAUGGAUAGAGCUAUCUCUUCAGGGACGAGUUUAAAUCCCAGAAUGUUAGAGGAAUCACUGCACAAACAAGUUCCAACUGAAUGAAACCAGAAGUAAGGGACAUGGCAAAUUCCCUGAUCAAAGCAAAGAUUGAAAGUGGUUUACUGUGGUACCUUCUCCAUUGCAAGACAGUAAGAAGCCAUCAUUACAAAACCAUAAUUUUUUUGUAAUUUGCAGACAAAUGUCCUCCCCCAAAAAAGUGUAGAUCAUCUCCCUGGAUAAAUCUGGAAAGCACUGCUCCUCCAAGGAUCUUCAAGGAUGUUCUUCACCCAAGAACCUCAAAGCACAAAUAAUUUUAGUAAGGCUGACCUCAUACAGGAACUGAUGCUGUGGAAUUUUUAAGCAAGAUGCCUAAAACCACUUAGUAAGAAGAGCUAAUCUUCUGAUGGAUGGCUGGCACUAAUGAAUUAUUAAAUAAAUGGACAUGCCUGGGGAAGGGACUGAAAAAAGGACUCUCAGCUGUCACCAUUGUGAGUAUAAGUUGUGUUGAAUAAGAAGAAAACAUG